GUCGUCAGCUCGUGUCGUGAGAUGUUGGGUUAAGUCCCGCAACGAGCGCAACCCUUGAUCUUAGUUGCCAUCAUUCAGUUGGGCAUCUAAGGUGACCCGGUGACAAACCGGAGGAAGGUGGGGAUGACGUCAAAUCAUCAUGCCCCUUAUGACCUGGGCUACACACGUGCUACAAUGGACGGUACAAAGAGCUGCAAGACCGCGAGGUGGAGCUAAUCUCAUAAAACCGUUCUCAGUUCGGAUUGUAGGCUGCAACUCGCCUACAUGAAGCUGGAAUCGCUAGUAAUCGCGGAACUGCAUGCCGGGGUGAAUACGUUCCCGGGUCUUUGUACACACGCAUCCCUACUGAA
rnacentral:rRNA from 1 species